rnacentral:rRNA from 1 species
GAUGAACGCUAGCUACAGGCUUAACACAUGCAAGUCGAGGGACCGGCGAACGGGUGAGUGACACGUAUCAAAUGUGCCCUUUACCCGGGGAUAGCCUGUCGAAGGUAAGAUCACUACCCGAAAUAAAGGAUGGGGAUGCGUUCCAUUAGGUUGUUGGUGAGGUAACGGCUCACGAAGCUUACGAUGGUGAGGGGUUCUGGUAGGAAGGUCCCCCCCGUUGGAACUGAGACACAGUCCAAACUCCGACGGGAGGCAGCAGUGGGGAAUAGUGGUCAAUGGGCUGUAGCCUGCACCAGCCACGUAGCUUGAAGGAUGCAUGCUUGUGGGUCGUAAACUUCUUUUAUAUAAGAAUAUGUAUUAUAUGAAUAAGGAUCGGCUAACUCCGUGCCAGCAGCCGCGGUAAUUC